AGAUCAAACUUGGCUCAGGAGUUUCCCUGACCAAGGAGAAAUGGCAGAGGGUGCAGGAGGCAAAAUCAAACUCCCAAUUCUGCAAGUCGUUGGCAGUUUGCAUUUGGGGCACAGAGGGACUGAGGGAGAGAAGCGUCACAGGGGCCAAAUCAAACGUGGUCAAAGACUCUGUCCCCAAGCGUCCCCUGACCCCAGAAAAAGUGGCUGUCAUAAGAGACUGCCUGAGGGACCGGCUUCAGAAGAUGGGCUAUCCAAAGGAGGCCAUUGAACAGCAGCUGGCCCUAGUUAGACGAGCCAUAUCAGAAAAGAUUAGUGAUAUUAGGAUGAGGAGCCCUCAGACAGAGGGAAAGCAGUAAACUGCUGCUGUCAACGCCACAUACUUCUUUGCCAAAGUUGUUGGUUGGUUUAAAAAAUCAAUAAAAAUGACAAACUGCAAUGAGUUGUCACACCCCAUAUGUCCUGUUCCCAAUUCGGAGGGGAAAAUAUCCGAAUACAUACACAAUUAUACACAUGCAUAGAUGUCUCUGGUGCCCAGUGUUAAGAUAUUUUUUGUUGCAGCAAUAGGUUUCAGUAAGUUUUAGUUUUCAAUUGGACCAGUACGUUCCUAAUGGUUUGACAUCCUAAUGGGACCAGUACAUUCCUAAUGGUUUUACAUCCUGAUGGCACCAGUACAUGCCUAAUGG